GCAGUAGCCGCGGGAAUACGUAGGGUGCGAGCGUUGUCCGAAGUUACUGGGCGUAAAGAGCGCGUAGGCGGGUCUUUAAGUGAGGGGUGAAAGGUUCAGGGCUCAACCCGGACACUGCCUUUCAUACUGGAGACCUUGAGUGUGGGAGAGGCGAGUGGAAUGGUCGGUGUAGCGGUGAAAUGCGUAGAUAUCGAUCGGAACACCCAUGGCGAAGGCAGCUCGCUGGCCUAUAACUGACGCUGAGGCGCGAAAGCGUGGGGAGCAAACAGGAUUAGAUACCCCGGUAGUCCCUGUCUCUUAUA
rnacentral:rRNA from 1 species